CCUACGGGGGACAGCAGUGGGGAAUAUUGCACAAUGGGGGGAACCCUGAUGCAGCAACGCCGCGUGGGUUAAGAAGUACUUCGGUAUGUAAAGCCCUGUCAGCAGGGAAGAAAAUGACGGUACCUGACCACGAAGCCCCGGCUAACUACGUGCCAGCAGCCGCGGUAAUACGUAGGGGGCAAGCGUGAUCCGGAUUUACUGGGUGUAAAGGGAGCGUAGACGGCAAGGCAAGUCUGGAGUGAAAGUCCGUGGCUCAACCACGGGACUGCUUUGGACACUGUGUUGCUGGAGUGCAGGAGGGGUAAGCUGAGUGCAUAGUGUAGCGGGGAAAGGAGUAGAGAUUAGGAGGGA
rnacentral:rRNA from 1 species